rnacentral:lncRNA from 1 species
AAACUCCCUCGGCCAGAAUAUACUAUCAUCAAUAGGCGCCAAAGGAAGUUAGCGUCUAUGAAUGGUUGCCUGGGAGGAGAAUGCAGAACCCUGCAUUACCUCAACACCAGUUAAGGAAGGGGAAGGGAAAGGUAAUUGGAACGGAACAGAGGGAGAGAGGACAUACAAUCUCAAUUCAUCUUUCUUCGAUUCCUUGCAUCAUAUCGCCUUGCCUCCUUUUCAACUGUAUCAGAGUAUGUUACGCAGGGAUGGGAGAAGGGGGAUAAUUCGGAUAACACCCCUCCUGGAUUCUGCAGCCCAUUUUGCAUGACUGUGGAAGGGUUCUUUGAUUUCCAAAUCUCUGUCAUUCUCUCUAUCAUAAUUCCAAUGGAUAUGUUGUGGAUGAUAUGAGUGGGUGUAAUGGAUUAAAACCAGUGUGAGGAUGUGGACUAUUUACUACAAGAUGAAGAUUCAAUCACAGUAGGGGUCAUUAACCCAGUCUUGAUUGUGGAAAUUCUGAGUGUCACGUCUUUUAUUGGACUUAACACUGCUCUGCAGAGAUGAUCAACAAAACAUCCACCCAGAGAACUAGGGGUGAAAUCAUUACGCCGAUUCUCUUGCAAAAUGUUUUGCAACAGAAAUGGUUUACUCCAAAUGGAAAACACAAACUAGAGUUUAUAUUGGACAAAUUCAGGUAGGUUCCUCCCCAUUUUGUUCCGUUUGCUUCCAUUUGGUUCUCAAAUGGUAAACAGUUUCCGUAAUGAAUACACACCAGGAGAAUGUCCUUGCUGUUUGCGGGAGCCCCAUCAGUCAGAGCAGGAAACCCCGGCCAAGCCCAGGCCACAGUAUUACACUGACAUGUCCUGUCCAGUGUGUCUACAGAACAGUGGUGUGUAUUCAUGGACGCCAAGGGAAGCCAGGCUUCCCCAAAAAAUGUACCCAUUAAAAAAUAUAUAUUUAUUCUCUCUGUGUUGCAUAAUAUUUGUCGUUUGCCAGUUCGUCUUGUCUCAUCAAGGCUACCAGCAUGUUUUUCCAUACUCCUGUUCUCUUUAGUCCCUGUUUUCUAGUUCUUCCGGUUUUGACCAUUCUGCCUGCCCAGAGCCUGCCUGCCGUUCUGUACUUUACGGACUCUGUCCUGGAUUACCGACCUCUGCCUGCCCUUGACCUGUCGUUUGCCUGCCUCCUGUUUUGUUAAUAAACUUCUGUGAUUCGAA